rnacentral:lncRNA from 1 species
CAGAAUACAGGGCACUUAGUAAGGUGGUUGCCGAAUUAUCUUGGCUCUCUCGACACUGACCUUGGUGUUUCUAUUUCUCUUCCCUUUUUUAUUUUUUGUGACAACCAGGCUGCUAUGCAUAUAGCCAAGAAUCCAGUCUUUCAUGAGCGCACCAAGCAUAUUGAAGUCGAUUGUCAUUUUGAUAGAAAUCAGCUGACUGAUGGGAUGAUUUCUCUCUCUCAUGUCUCCACUUUUCACCAAUUGGUUGAUCUUCUCACCAAGCCUUUACCUGGCACUGUUCAUCAUUCUUUGCUGGUCAAGUUGAAGUUGGUCUCCUCCUCCAACUUGAGGGGGGGUGUUGAGCUAAAAGACUACCUAGCAUCUAAGCCUAAACACAUACAAGGAAACAACACUACGAAAUAAGUUGUUAAAGCAUGGGUAAAAUUGUUUCCAUGUAACCUAUCGAUCAUGAAUUCGAGUUGUUGAGCUAAAAGAUUACCUAGCAUCUAAGCCUAAACACAUACAUUGAUUUGUGCUGUAUUUUUAUUGUAUCUUUAUUGUAUAUUGUGUAUAUGUUGUAUAUUUUCAUUUUGGGCCUGUAGCAGACUUGCCCGUUAGAGCAUUUUCUUUUUAGAUCAUUUUCCUUUUAAUUGAAC